rnacentral:rRNA from 1 species
GAAGAAGCACCGGCUAACUCCGUGCCAGCAGCCGCGGUAAUACGGAGGGUGCAAGCGUUAAUCGGAAUUACUGGGCGUAAAGCGCACGCAGGCGGUCUGUCAAGUCGGAUGUGAAAUCCCCGGGCUCAACCUGGGAACUGCAUUCGAAACUGGCAGGCUUGAGUCUUGUAGAGGGGGGUAGAAUUCCAGGUGUAGCGGUGAAAUGCGUAGAGAUCUGGAGGAAUACCGGUGGCGAAGGCGGCCCCCUGGACAAAGACUGACGCUCAGGUGCGAAAGCGUG